UACGUAGGCAGCAAGCGUUGUUCGGAGUUACUGGGCGUAAAGGGCGCGUAGGCGGCUCUUUAAGUCUGGUGUGAAAUCUCCCGGCUUAACUGGGAGGGUGCGCUAUAGACUGUGGGGCUAGAGUGCGGGAGAGGAAAGUGGAAUUCCUGGUGUAGCGGUGAAAUGCGUAGAUAUCAGGAGGAACACCGGUGGUGUAAACGGCUUUCUGGACCGUAACUGACGCUGAUGCACGAAAGCGUGGGUAGCAAACAGG
rnacentral:rRNA from 1 species